rnacentral:snoRNA from 1 species
GCCAGGGGUAAAAUAGCAUCUUCACAUAAUAGACGUUCUAUUGGUGUGCUAGAGUCCUCGAAGAUUAACUGCUGAUCUUAUAUACUGGCUGUGGCCCUCAUGGCAUAGUUGGUCACUGGGUUAGUGACGUUA